AUCUUUUUCCUUUGGACAUGCCAACGUGAUGUAUGUUUGCUGAUGUAUAUUUUGAUUAUUUGUUUGUCUGAGCGUAUGGCAAUAUUAGAACUAAUUACUAUAGGAAUUUGUUCCCUGGACAUAAUAUAGGUAUAACUCUUUUUUGCCUAAUUUUAACACUUGUAACAUAAGAUCCAAGAUAAUUCGCAUGGUGAACAUGGAGGAAGCAGUGAUGCUAAAGAGUUUGCUGAAAAGCUGUCUGUAAGUUGAACUUACAUAGAUAAGCAAAUCUUGUAUAGUGAUAAUGGAGCUCCUUGUUUAGUUGCUUCAACUUCCAUAACUGAUUCAUAUCUCCAUUGGAGCUCCUUGUUCUAGUGCUUCAAGUUCUAGCCUAUUUACUUCUGGCAUGCAUGUUUUCUGUUUGAAUUCCUGUUCAUACGAAUGCAGCCAUCUGAGGACCUGCAAUUUUCAAAUUCUGUUGAUUCUCAGUCAUUAUUGAAUGACAUGAUUGAUGCGUCUAAAAAGGCUGGACCAUCUACAAAUGCUACUACUCAUGCUCAAUCUAAUUCUUUGUCAAAGGUUAGUGAAAAACCAAGUUCUUCUGGUGAACUCUCAAAUGGUCCAGCUUCUAGCAAAGUAACUGGUGAAACACAAUCUGUAAACUCCCAUGGAUGACCAGUUAGUUCUAUGUCAUCAAAUUCAGAUUGUAUUGGUGCUGUCUCAGCAUCUAGUGGCCCUGGUUUAUCACCAAGUUCAUCAGUGGGUUCAUUAUCUUCUGAGAAGUUGACACUGAAUCCCUACGCGAAGAUUGGACCCUCCUUUCUUGGACACCAGCCUGUUAUUUUCAACCCACAGGUGGCACCAGUACAAUUGCCACAAGCUUACUUUCAUCCAAAUGGACCUAAGGAAAGGCAAUAAUAUAAAUGACGGGAUUAUUAACCUGUUAGUUUUCUGACAGCAUUCUUGGGAGCUCUGCUCUGUUUUGCUAGCAAAGAAUAAACUUUUGAAAGACUGCUUGGGUCAAUUUUCUCGAAACAAAGCAUAGUUGUCCAAGAAAGAUUCUAUAUAGUCUUCAUCACCCUAUGUUCCAGGAGACGUGUACUCAUCAUGGGAGAUAAGUCUCAUUCACAUCGUCACUUAGGAUUUCUAACUUUUGUUGACUAACCUGUGCUUUUCUAAUUGGUUGUUUUAAUAUUGAUGAUAGAUUUGGAUCAAUCUGUGGUGCAAAUAUUCUAUAUUAUUUUCCUCUUAAUUUUUAUUUUAGUGGUUACUGUCGCCUGGGAUCUACCAAUGUAUUCCAUUGUUGGGUUAAGAAAGUGGAAGAGAUUGAUGCUAAUGAAUACUGUUCGUUAUGGCAAUAUGCCAAAUUCAUGAUGUGAACUUUGAUUAAA